ensembl:lncRNA
CUCACAUUCCUCAAGAACCCAGGCCGCACUGGCAGGGGCAGCCCAGUUCUGGGCUUGUUUCUGGGCUGGGGGUGCCACCGUGUUCAGGGUACAUGGCAGGUGCAGGGCUGCUUCCAGCUGCGUCACAGCUUGGGCUUUCGGUCCUGCACGUGGGCUCUGCUGCCAGGUCUGAGGGGAAACGUUUCUAAGCUCAGGGAGGGAAGGCUUAGGCUAGAUGCCAGGAGGAAGUUCUUCACAGAGAGAGAGCUGAGGUGCUGGGAUAGGCAGCCCACAGACGUUGUGGGUGCUCCAUCCCUGGAGGUCUUUGGAGCUGAUGACAUCUCAGCAGGCUCUGCAACCGCUCCAACCCUCCAACGGAGGCGGCAGUUGCUCCGACUGUCAUGACGGAGCCUGCAGCUGCUUCAACCCUGGUGACAGGCCCUGCCGUUGUGACGGGCCCUGUGGUUGACACGGGCCCUCUAGUUGCUCCAACCCCUGUGACAGGGCGCUGCAGCUGCUCCCGGCCCUGUGAGAGAACUCGUGUGGUUCAGCCACAGAACCCAUCUGUGCCACUGCCAGAUGCCUGUGUAUACAAGAGUAAAUGGCUGAAAAAGUCGGAGAGUUUAGAAAGGAAAUAACCUUUCAGUAGGAUGGGAACGGGUGAAGAGGAUGAGAACGAAGCCGAGCCAUCGCAAGAAAUCUGCGGGAAACACUUCAGGGAGAGGCAGGGACCCGCAGUCCCCUCACAGAGUGCAAGCACAGGGGCUCUGAGGCGCUGUGAGCAGAGCCAGGAGUGCCGGGUCAGAUCCUGAACGUACAAAGGCUCCUCUCAGGGGUCAAAUCCUGAACGUACAAAGGCUCCUCUCAGGGGCCGUGCUCAACCAGGAGCGUGGCUGAACAGAGCCAGCAAACGGACUGUGGCACAGCCUCUGGUGCCGCCACGGCGAGCAGGGAAUGCAGAAUCUCCCUCCCCACUCAGGAGGCCACCUCACCUAUUGGCUUCCUCCUCAACAACAAACCUAGCCGUGGCCUCCACCAGGAAGAAAGCUCUUGCCCAAAAGAACGCAGCUACCCAAACUGAGUGCCUACCCAGGAAUACAGCUCUUCAGGUCUCGGGCCGCACGGAGUGCCCGAGCCUGCUGCUGCCAUCCGAGGGCGGCAGAGAGACCACCUGCAUGAGGUGAGAGCAGGUGGAUGGUCUGCUCAGCCUGGUGGCAGCGCUCUCGGGGGAGCUGGGGACACUAAGCAAUGCCAGGCAAUUAGAAUCACAGGAUGCUUUGGGCUGGAAGGGACCUUUCACACCAUCUCGUUCCAGCCCCCCCGCCAUAGGCAGGGACGCCAACCACCACACCAGGCUGCUCACAGCUCCAUCCAGCCCGGCCUUGAAUGCUUCCAGGGAGGGGGCAUCCACAGCCUCCUUGGGCAACUUGUUCCAGUGUCUCACCACCCUCACAGUAAUGCAUUUCUCGUUAAUAUUUAGUCUGAAUCAACCCACUUCCAGGUCAAAGCCAUUUCCCCUCGUCCUGUCGCAACAUGCCCUUGUAAAAUGUCCCUCCCCAGCUUUUCUGUAGCCCCCAUUCGAGUACUGACGGGCCGCUAUAACGUCUCCU